AGCAGCCGCGGUAAUUCCAGCUCCAAUAGCGUAUAUUAAAGUUGUCGCAGUUAAAAAGCUCGUAGUUGAAUUUCGGGAUCAGUACGCUGGUCGUGCCCUCGGUAUGUACUGGUGUUACUGGUUCCUACCUUCUGACGAACCGUCAUGUCAUUAAUUUGGUGUGGCGGGGAAUCAGGACUGUUACUUUGAAAAAAUUAGAGUGUUUAAAGCAGGCUCGCGCUUGAAUACAUUAGCAUGGAAUAAUGAAAUAGGACGUUCGAUCCUAUUUUGUUGGUUUCUAGGAUUGACGUAAUGAUUAAUAGGGAUAGUUGGGGGCAUUAGUAUUCAAUUGUCAGAGGUGAAAUUCUUGGAUUUAU
rnacentral:rRNA from 1 species